rnacentral:rRNA from 1 species
AUUGAACGCUAGCGGGAUGCCUUACACAUGCAAGUCGAACGGCAGCACGGACUUCGGUCUGGUGGCGAGUGGCGAACGGGUGAGUAAUGUAUCGGAACGUGCCCAGUAGCGGGGGAUAACUACGCGAAAGCGUAGCUAAUACCGCAUACGCCCUACGGGGGAAAGCAGGGGAUCGCAAGACCUUGCACUAUUGGAGCGGCCGAUAUCGGAUUAGCUAGUUGGUGGGGUAACGGCUCACCAAGGCGACGAUCCGUAGCUGGUUUGAGAGGACGACCAGCCACACUGGGACUGAGACACGGCCCAGACUCCUACGGGAGGCAGCAGUGGGGAAUUUUGGACAAUGGGGGAAACCCUGAUCCAGCCAUCCCGCGUGUGCGAUGAAGGCCUUCGGGUUGUAAAGCACUUUUGGCAGGAAAGAAACGUCAUGGGCUAAUACCCCGUGAAACUGACGGUACCUGCAGAAUAAGCACCGCUA